rnacentral:rRNA from 1 species
GAUGAACGCUGACAGAAUGCUUAACACAUGCAGUCACUGAUUGUGGCGGACGGGUGAGUAACGCGUAAAGAACUUGCCUCACAGGUAGGGACAACAUUUGGAAACGAAUGCUAAUACCUAAUACUGUGAGAGAGCUUUGCGUCCCAUUAGCUAGUUGGAGAGGUAACGGCUCACCAAGGCGAUGAUGGGUAGCCGGCCUGAGAGGGUGAUCGGCCAAAUGUGGACUGGGAACCGGCCCGUGCUCCUACGGGGGGCAGCAGGGUGGACUAUCUGACAAUGGACCAAAGUCUGAUCCAGCAAUUCUGUGUGCACGAUGAAGUUUUCGGAAUGUAAAGUGCCUUCAGUUGGGAAGCGGUACCAACAGAAGAAGUGACGGCUAACUACGUGCCAGCAGCCGCGGUAAUAC